rnacentral:rRNA from 1 species
CGAAUGCUGACAUAAGUAACGAUAAAGCGGGUGAAAAGCCCGCUCGCCGGAAGACCAAGGGUUCCUGUCCAACGUUAAUCGGGGCAGGGUGAGUCGACCCCUAAGGCGAGGCCGAAAGGCGUAGUCGAUGGGAAACAGGUUAAUAUUCCUGUACUUGGUGUUACUGCGAAGGGGGGACGGAGAAGGCUAUGUUGGCCGGGCGACGGUUGUCCCGGUUUAAGCGUGUAGGCUGGUUUUCCAGGCAAAUCCGGAAAAUCAAGGCUGAGGCGUGAUGACGAGGCACUACGGUGCUGAAGCAACAAAUGCCCUGCUUCCAGGAAAAGCCUCUAAGCAUCAGGUAACAUCAAAUCGUACCCCAAACC